rnacentral:rRNA from 1 species
GUGGGGAAUCUUCCGCAAUGGACGAAAGUCUGACGGAGCAACGCCGCGUGAGUGAUGAAGGUCUUCGGAUUGUAAAGCUCUGUUAAUCGGGACGAAAGAGCCUAGUGUGAAUAAUGCUAGGAAGUGACGGUACCGGAAUAGAAAGCCACGGCUAACUACGUGCCAGCAGCCGCGGUAAUACGUAGGUGGCAAGCGUUGUCCGGAAUUAUUGGGCGUAAAGCGCGCGCAGGCGGAUCUGCCAGUCUGUCUUAAGAGUUCGGGGCUUAACCCCGUGAUGGGAUGGAAACUACAGAUCUAGAGUAUCGGAGAGGAAAGUGGAAUUCCUAGUGUAGCGGUGAAAUGCGUAGAUAUUAGGAAGAACACCAGUGGCGAAGGCGACUUUCUGGACGAAAACUGACGCUGAGGCGCGAAAGCCAGGGGAGCGAACGGGAUUAGAAACCCCGGUAGUCC